rnacentral:rRNA from 1 species
GACGAACGCUGGCGGCGUGCUUAACACAUGCAAGUCGAACGGUGACGAGGAGCUUGCUCCUCUGAUCAGUGGCGAACGGGUGAGUAACACGUGAGUAACCUGCCCCAGACUCUGGAAUAACAGUUGGAAACAGCUGCUAAUACCGGAUACGAGACGGAGAGGCAUCUCUACCGUCUGGAAAGUUUUUUCGGUCUGGGAUGGACUCGCGGCCUAUCAGCUAGUUGGUGAGGUAAAGGCUCACCAAGGCGACGAUCCGUAGCGGGUCUGAGAGGAUGAUCCGCCACACUGGGACUGAGACACGGCCCAGACUCCUACGGGAGGCAGCAGUGGGGAAUUUUGGACAAUGGGCGCAAGCCUGAUCCAGCCAUGCCGCGUGCGGGAAGAAGGCCUUCGGGUUGUAAACCGCUUCGGUACAGAAAGAAAUACGCAUGGACUAAUAACUCUGUGUGGAUGACGGUACGUGUAAGAAGAAGACACCGGCUAACCUACCGUCGCCAGACG